GCCUAAGGGCGGAACAGCAACUUGGAGGAAUGAAAGGCAAUAGCUGAUUGCAUUAAAUUUAAAAUUAGAGUUUUUUUUAUUUUUAAUGUAGUUACUACUUUGUAGUUUAAAUUUCUAGGUAGAAUUAUGAUGAUGACAUUAUCUAUCUAUAGGUCUUGACCAAAUUACGUGCCAGCAGUCGCGGUAAUACGUAGAAGACAAGUGUUAUUCAUCUUUAUUAGGUUUAAAGAGUACCAAGACGGUUAAUAAAGCCCAAAAUACAUGAGCACAGGGGACACAUUAACUAGAGUUAUAUGAAAGGAAGCAUUAAGGUACUGUUGAGUGUAGAGAUAAAAUUCAGUCAUACCAGAUGAAAGGCACAGAUUUAUGCGAAGGCAUCUUCUUAUGUAAUAACUGACGUUGUAGGACGAAGGCUUUUGAAGUGAAGAGGAUUAGAUACCCUUGUAAUUUAAGCAGAAAAUGAUGAAUGUCAUAGGUUUAAUAUAUACAGCCCAAAAAAAAAAGGGUCGAUGUUUUAUUGGGUCUAUAAAUGAAAGUGUAAGCAUUCCACCUCAAGAGUAAUUUGGCAACAUUGGAACUGAAAUCAUUAGACCGUUUCUGAAACCAGUAGUGAAGUAUGUUGUUUAAUUAGAUGAUACACAAAAAACCUUACCACAAUUUGAAUAUAUAUCAUUAAUGAUAUUUACAAGCGUUGCACGGCUGUCUUCAGUUAAUGUCGUGAGAUUUUGGUUAGUUCCAUAAAAUUAACGUAAACCCUCGUUUUAUUUAUAAAUAAAAUUUACAAUCUGUUUCUAAAGAUUUGAUAUUAGAAAAGGGACUAAGACAAGUCAUCAUGGCCUAAAUAUUGU
rnacentral:rRNA from 1 species